rnacentral:rRNA from 1 species
CCUACGGGAGGCAGUAGUGAGGAAUAUUGGUCAAUGGCCGGAAGGCUGAACCAGCCAAGCCGCGUGAAGGACGAAGGUGCCAAGCAUUGUAAACUUCUUUUGUCAAGGGACAAAAUCAGGCUCGAGAGCCUGACCGAGGGGACUUGAAGAAAAAGCAUCGGCUAACUCCGUGCCAGCAGCCGCGGUAAUACGGAGGAUGCGAGCGUUAUCCGGAUUUAGUGGGGUUAAAGGGUUCGUAGGCGGACUGUUAAGUCAGCGGUAAAAGCCCGGGGCUCAACCCCGGCGAGCCGUUGAAACUGGCAGUCUUGAGUUGGCGAGAGGUAUGCGGAAUGCGUAGUGUAGCGGUGAAAUGCAUAGAUAUUGCGCAGAACGCCGAUUGCGAAGGCAGCAUACCGGCGGCGAUCUGACGCUGAGGCACGAAAGCGUGGGUAUCGAACAGGAUUAGAUACCCCUGUAGUC